ensembl:lncRNA putative uncharacterized protein FLJ46214
AUGCAAACUGGCAGAAGGCCACGGACACUGUGCCCGAAGGUCCGCAUCAAAAAGGAGUUAAAAAGAAAAAAAAAGAUGGGGUGGGGGUGGGGGGGGAUUUCCUUUUACCUUUUCUCUUCACGUGGUGUGAGGGUUUGGGAGUGGGCACUGGCGGGCGGGCGAGCUCGCUGGGAGGAACAGUUAUUGUGCCUACGGCCCGAGCUGACGCUCCUCACAGCCGCCACUUUCCUCGGACUCUCCGAAGUUGUGCCAUGUGCUGAGGGGCCGCGCUCUGCAGCUCCCCUGAAUUCGGCUCCCCGCCCGGCCCGGCCUGACAGAACGGAGAACGGCAGCGCGGCCCCACGCCCCCACACAAAGGCUUACGCCGCCGCCCGGCCGGUACGCAACUUUCCCUGCCCCGCGGCGAACAACGGCCGCCCGCCCCUCCCGCCUGACAGUGCCUUUCGCGCCGCUCCCCCGCAAAGUUUGCGGCCGGCCUCCUCGGGCCGGGAACGCCCGCCAGCCGCUGAGGGGCCGGGGGUAGGCGGGCGGCGAGGCGCGGGCCGGCCCCGCUGCGCGCCGUCCAACUUGGGGCGCCCCGUGACAGCCAUGUUGGGGUCAGCCCCCAGGCUCCCGCGAGGCUGGGCUCCGGGAGCGGGACGGAGCGCCCAGGGCACGGGCGGAGCAGAGCCCCGCGAACAAAGAACUUCUCGCCCCGCCGGAGCGGGGCGAGAGGAGAAAAGAAAAAGAGGGAGAAGCAGCCCCCGCCGCCCCGCGUCGGGACGACCUCCCGCCCCGUCCUGUCCCGUCCCCGCGCUAGCUCCGCACGGCCCGAGCCGAGAAGGAAAUAAAAACACCGCGCCGAGGAUUCACUUUUGCCCUGGCACUUCGAGCUGCCCUGAGCGACGGACUUCCAGGAAAGUUUCACCUAAGCUACCAGACUCCACAAAAUAGCGCUUUCGGGACAAAACAUUAGCGCAUGGCAGAGGUGAAAGCCUGCCUACCGGCCUCUCCGCGCCACCCUCCUCAGCUCCUCGUUGUCCCGCUCUGCUCCAUCCCUGCCUCUCAUGCACAGUAUGGUCCACAAACAGCAGCAACAGGGAGCCCAAAGAGCACAGAACUUACUGCUUUCUAUAUUUCCCGUUCUUCGGGAAACACUACAUCUUGACAAGACACCUUGCCUUCUCCCAGCUCUGCAGAUUGCUCCCCUGACAUUAGAGAAGUCUAAAAAAAACAUAAAUGAGCAUUAUUGCAGCCAGUUUCCAUCAAGUAUAAAGGCAGGGCUGGCUCUCAGGAAAAGUGUAUGUUUUUAAGUUGUUGCCAUCAGUGUCAAAUACUUCAUAUAUGCCUUUUUCAUAACCUGGCUUACAACAGAGCCAAGUAAAGAUUUGUUACUGAUGUCGAUGAUUCAACAAGGUACCAAAAGCUCAGGCUACCCCAAGCAGCUGACAGGUCCCACAAAAAUCAAUGGUACUUGAAGACAGGCCUGCUUGCUAUCUGAAAAUGAACAACCAGCCCUUGACACCACGCAUUUGAUAAAGCUUCCCUUGCCAUUGAAAACUUUCUGCAUCCUAUUGCAAAACAAAGCUGUAGGUGAGGGUUGGGACACCUCUGUUCACAGCUUUUUUAGAAACUGAGAGAAGGCAAUCUUAUCAGCGCCACCAGAUCUCUGAAUUUCCUCAGUGGCUUGUAUUUUUUUUCACCUGGAAAUCUCUGAGUGCAGAAGGGUAGCUUUGGAGAAGUGCUUGUAAUUUACAGAUGCCCCAAUUGCACCAGCCAUGCUGGGUACAUUCAUGCAUCUGUUUCUCAGUGCUGUAUGUACUCCUGACUUUUGGGACAGACACGCAGCUUAGAUGCUUUCAUGGCCAGGUACACAUUGUCAGACCUGCCAGGCUCCCAGGCACACCAGGGAGAUCCAGGCAGGUGCUGGCUUGCAGCAAAGAGGACCACAGUCUGGGAGCCAGCAAUUUCACAGCAUUCCAAUGGGCAAACCUGUCCCUGCCCCAAAUGAGCAGCACACAGUUGCCCAACCAAUGCUGCUGACAGGCACGGGGCUACACAGGAGGAGGCAUGUGCCACAACCAUUUCUGAACAAAAAUAUUAAGAGCUUAUAUUAUCCCACCUUUUUCAUCCUAUGUGACUUCCUUUUUGAUUCCUGAGAAUCAAACGUUUGUGAGCUGCCUUGUGAAAGUACGGUAAUAGUUACAUGGCACUGUGGUUGUUUUGGCCUACAUACAGCCGUAUGAACAGGACAGGAGGGGAGGGCUCAGCAUGUUUAGGUAAACCUCUGGAUCACUUUAAGAGUUAUGUGAUUCUUUCAAGUCAUAGAUCCCUUUUUUCUUUUUCUAUGUCUUGCCAAUUCCUUCAUAUUAUUGCAGACUUUUUUUUUCUCACACUAUUUUUUUUCAGUUUGUAUAACAAAAGCCUUCAAAAGUAACAGGGGAAAUUAACCUACAUUAAAAGUGCUACCUUAUAACAGAAACAAAUUAAUGGGGAAAAAUCUGUUUAUCUAACCAUUUAUCAUUCAGAAUUAAUAAUCUUAAGAUGUUAAUUUUGACAGUAGGUACAACAAAUGUUCAAACAGGCAUGAUUUUAAGUUGAGGAUGGCCCUUCAGAUUAGUAUUACUCUGACUUUUGAAAAAAAGAACUAUGGUUUCUUGGGAUCUUUGUCAUCUUCUUAUGCCAUAGAAGUAUAUUUCAUCCUUUUGAAAAAAAAUCUGAUUCACACUAGCUUAGUUCAAGGCACACGUUUCUGGUUUAAAUAAAUUCAAAAAAGCUUCAACUGCCA